UUGGAACACAGACAGGGCCUCUUCUGAGUAACCACAAGGAGAGGACAAACAGACUCAACGGCACUCCUCCAAGUGGCUGGCUAGCGCCCAUGAGCUUUGGAACACUGUGGUUAACCCCAGACUCUGUCAGGAGGGAAAAGUCCCAACUCUCCAGUUAGUUGCUUCCACAAAAGUAAGCCAAAAUGAGUCAUAUAAAGAUGGAGAAACCAACAGAGACAGCCUUCCAUGUAAGGAUCACCAGCAAGAAUUAAAUCUGGAGACAGGAGAAUCUGAAGAACCUGGGCGGCUGAUGUUCCUUCUCAAAAAUUGUCAAAAGCUCUGCUGACAUGUGCGGCUGCACGGUGCACCAUUGAACUGAUUCCCUCGUACACAUCUUUGCUGCUGUUUCAGUAGGCCUCUGAGUGGGACGGAAGGACACAGUAACAGUGAUGCUGUCUUCUCUGUUCAAAGAGGAAGCCACUGACCAAGGAAGGACUGAGGUGGUUUCCAGUAAGGCGAUGGGAGGAUGCAUCUCUUCCCAUGGCCAGGCAGUGACGCACAGACCGAAGCUCAGAAACAAAACCAUCCUGAAGGAUGCUACCCUGGGAACCCUGACAACACGUUGUGAGGAAGCUCAUGCCACAUGGAGAAGCUGACAUGGAGUGGAACUGAGCCCUCCCUCUAGCAGGCAGUACCCAUUUGCCAGCCAUGUGAGGGCCAUCUUGGAAGUGGGUCCUCCAGCUGCAGUCAAACCUUCAAAUAAUUACACCUCCGGCCAACACGUUCUUGUUACCUCAUGAGAAACUCCUAAACCAGAACCUUUCCCAAAUUCCUAGCUCACAGAAACUAUGGGAGAUUUUUGUAGUUUUUAAGCCACUAAGUUUUGGGGUAAUUUAUUAGGGAGUAUUUAUGUGAACCAGAUUGAUGCCAUCUCGGACAAAUCCGCCAUGAUAACCCCUCUGUGACCUGAAGCCUUCUUUGAGCACACACACCCCCCCCCCCACCACCACCACCAUUCUUCCCUUUUGUUUAACCACACCCUUAAGUACACUCUUAGAGCAUAACAUCCUUGAUCUGCAUUGGAGAUAUGACUGUGAUUCUCAAACAUUCUCCUCGUGAGUGGUCUCCCAGCCUCUAAGGCUAUGAAAACAGGUCAAAGACAGAUCUUACAGGAGGUGGGGUUGCAGAGGUCUUCUCUUGCCACCACCCAAGACGUGUAAAUCCCUUUAAUAAAUC